rnacentral:rRNA from 1 species
ACCUGCGGAAGGAUCAUUAAAAAUGGCGAGGGGAAGAUUUAUCGACCCUUCACACUUUUUUCUGUGCACUGUUCAUGUUUUGAUUUGAACGGAGGGAGCGCAAGCUUCUUUCCGGCCAAAUUCAAUGACCGCGGACCCUGGAUAUUUUUAGCCCCUGAAUUCAUGCGGCCAAAUUUUUUCCCACGGUCCGUCUACCCACUCUUCUAACACUGACUGAACCACAAAACAUAAAGUUUAAACAACUUUCAGCAAUGGAUCUCUCGGCUUUCGUAUCGAUGAAGAACGCAGCGAAUCGCGAUAUGUAGUGUGAUCUGCCUUUAGUGAAUCAUCAAAUCUUUGAACGCAUCUUGCACCUUUUGGUAUUCCAAAAGGUACGCCUGUUUCAGUAUCAUUAUAACCUCUUGCCCAAAUGUAUUUUUGGAAAAAGAGAAUAUGACAGUUGGCCCUGCGUCUCUGCAAAGAGUCGUCUCGGCUUGAAUACCCUGUUGAUUGUAACUGUUUCAUCUACGGUCAUCACUUGAUAAUUAUCGUGUGUCUAACCAGAAAUGAAGCGGGAUCGACCGUAUCAAACCCCCCUAAACUUGAUCUGAAAUCAGGCGGGAUUACCCGCUGAACUUAAGCAUAUCAAA